ACAUUUUCCUUGAACAUCCUAGAAUGUUGUCAGCCAUGCCCUGAUGAGUACAUAAGGGGCAGGGCGUCGUCAGUCAGUCAGUGAGAUAUAAGAACGUAGUGAAGUGAGAGCCCAGCUUACAGACAUCAUUAUCAUCUGUGGAUAAAGCUGAUAGGAUGAAGAGCUGGAGUCAAGAUGGAAAGAAACCACAAGCGCUGGUACUAUACUAUUGCCAUUUUACAUGAUCUUCUUGUUCUCAAAUGUGUGGCAUGUUGUCAGGCCACCACCACCACCCAGCACCCAGAAGAGGUCCUAAAGAGUUAACACACUCAUCCAGUCGCAGCAUGGAAACAAAUAGGUGACUUGUAAGUCCAGCUAGACCUCACCAACACCAC